rnacentral:rRNA from 1 species
UACGUAGGUGGCAAGCGUUGUCCGGAAUUAUUGGGCGUAAAGCGCGCGCAGGCGGUCCUUUAAGUCUGAUGUGAAAGCCCACGGCUCAACCGUGGAGGGUCAUUGGAAACUGGGGGACUUGAGUACAGAAGAGGAAAGCGGAAUUCCACGUGUAGCGGUGAAAUGCGUAGAGAUGUGGAGGAACACCAGUGGCGAAGGCGGCUUCU